rnacentral:rRNA from 1 species
ACUACGAACGGCAGCACAGAGGAGCUUGCUCCUUGGGUGGCGAGUGGCGGACGGGUGAGGAAUACAUCGGAAUCUACUCUGUCGUGGGGGAUAACGUAGGGAAACUUACGCUAAUACCGCAUACGACCUACGGGUGAAAGCAGGGGAUCUUCGGACCUUGCGCGAUUGAAUGAGCCGAUGUCGGAUUAGCUAGUUGGCGGGGUAAAGGCCCACCAAGGCGACGAUCCGUAGCUGGUCUGAGAGGAUGAUCAGCCACACUGGAACUGAGACACGGUCCAGACUCCUACGGGAGGCAGCAGUGGGGAAUAUUGGACAAUGGGCGCAAGCCUGACCCAGCCAUACCGCGUGGGUGAAGAAGGCCUUCGGGUUGUAAAGCCCUUUUGUUGGGAAAGAAAUCCAGCUGGCUAAUACCCGGUUGGGAUGACGGUACCCAAAGAAUAAGCACCGGCUAACUUCGUGCCAGCAGCCGCGGUAAUACGAAGGGUGCAAGCGUUACUCGGAAUUACUGGGCGUAAAGCGUGCGUAGGUGGUCGUUUAAGUCCGUUGUGAAAGCCCUGGGCUCAACCUGGGAACUGCAGUGGAUACUGGACGACUAGAGUGUGGUAGAGGGUAGCGGAAUUCCUGGUGUAGCAGUGAAAUGCGUAGAGAUCAGGAGGAACAUCCAUGGCGAAGGCAGCUACCUGG